rnacentral:rRNA from 1 species
UAUCUGUUUGAUCCCGGCAGAGGUCACUGCUAUCGGGGUUCGAUUAAGCCAUGCGAGUCGAGAGGGUUCAGACCCUCGGCGGACUGCUCAGUAACACGUGGAUAAUCUGCCCUAUGGUGGAGGAUAACCCCGGGAAACUGGGGAUUAUUCUUCAUAAGUCAGGAGUACUGGAAUGUCUCCUAACUGAAAGUUGCGGCGCCAUAGGAUGAAUCUGCGGCACCAAAGGAAGUUGUUGGGGUAACGGCCCAACAACUCUGUAAUCGGUACGGGGUUGUGGGGGCUCACGCCCCCCGGAGAUGGAAUCUGAGACACGAUUCCAGGCCCUACGGGGCGCAGCGGGCGCGAAAACUUUACAAUGCAGGAAACUGUGAUAAGGGAACCCCGAGUGCCCGUAAACGCGGGCUGUCCCGGUGUUUAAAACACAUCGGAGGAAGGGCCGGGCAAGACCGGUGCCAGCCGCGCGUAAUACCGGCGCUCGAGUGUGACCACUUUUAUGGGCUUAAAGCGUUCGUAGCUUGAUUUAGUCUCUUGAUCUCACUGCUACUGGGAGGCGUCUAGAGAUCUGGGAUCUAGGACGGGAGAGGUAGAGUACUUCAGGGUA